GACGAACGCUGGCGGCGUGCUUAACACAUGCAAGUCGAGCGGUAAGGCCCUUUCGGGGGUACACGAGCGGCGAACGGGUGAGUAACACGUGGGUGACCUGCCCUUAGCUCUGGGAUAAGCCUGGGAAACUGGGUCUAAUACCGGAUAUGACUCCAUGACGCAUGUUGUGGGGUGGAAAGCCUUGUGCGGCUAGGGAUGGGCCCGCGGCCUAUCAGCUUGUUGGUGGGGUGAUGGCCACCAAGGCGACGACGGGUAGCCGGCCUGAGAGGGCGACCGGCCACACUGGGACUGAGACACGGCCCAGACUCCUACGGGAGGCAGCAGUGGGGAAUCUUGCGCAAUGGCGAAAGCCUGACGCAGCGACGCCGCGUGGGGAGUGACGGCCUCGUGU
rnacentral:rRNA from 1 species